UCAAUUGAAAAUGAUUUAUUUUGAGAUAAGGAAACACUAUAUGUAAAGCACUAAAAAAAAAACUUUCUGUGUGGCCAGCAGCCAAACCAAAAAGUCAAAUCAAACAGAGGACUAUACAUUGUACACAAGACGCAGGCACAUGACAAACAGAACAAACCUAAAGGUAUUUCAACACAGUUGUAAAAUGUGAUUUGAAGAAAAAAUAUUUUAAAUUGCAGUGCAAAUUAUUUGGAUUAAUUUUGUUUGAUACAGAUUUUGUCUUCUCGACUAAAUAACAUGACAUUUGUUCUUGGCUGAACUUGAAAAUUCUGUAGCAUUCAAUUAGUCAUCACUAACAGCAUCUACACUAUUUAACAUCUAAUAAGAUAUUUUAAUCAUGUUGCUAAUCUUGGUGAAAAAAAAAAGAUAGAAACUAGGUUUCAAUACAAUAAGUUCUUCAUCCCACAGGUCAAAACAAUCAAAUUGGCAUAACGACCUCCGCUUUUAAAUUAAAAAUACAUAACAUCUUUGAGCACUGAAGAACCAACAAAUACUGAAUUGUAAUAGGUAGCUAUCUAAUAAUCUAUUUUUGUAAUUGACAAUUUACACCAUUAAAUAAGAGGUGCCAUAAUUCUGUUUGUAAAAUGGCAUCUUUUUUUUUUUUUUUUUUUA